UGAAAAUGCAAACCUUGUGCCAGUAAAAUCCAUCUGUUGGUAGCCAUAUAUGCUUUCAGAAGUGGACUUUUUAUCACUUCAGCUUGUUCUCAACAUUUUGUGAUGUGUGAGCCCAUAAUUCUUGUGGAGUGUUCAUGUUAGCAAAUUAUGAAUAAUUAUGGAUAAGAGGGUUAACUGAGGUUAUGGUUGUAAUACAAAUUGAAUAUAUGACCUGAAUUGACAAAAUUAAUAGAAUUGGAUAUAGUUGUAA
rnacentral:misc_RNA from 1 species